UCCCGCAACGAGCGCAACCCCUACCGCCUGUUGCCAUCAUUCAGUUGGGCACUCUGGUGGAACUGCCGGUGACAAGCCGGAAGAAGGCGGGGAUGACGUCAAGUCCUCAUGGCCCUUAUGGGUUGGGCUACACACGUGCUACAAUGGCGGUGACAGUGGGAUGCGAAGUCGCAAGAUGGAGCCAAUCCCCAAAAGCCGUCUCAGUUCGGAUUGCACUCUGCAACUCGGGUGCAUGAAGUUGGAAUCGCUAGUAAUCGCGGAUCAGCACGCCGCGGUGAAUACGUUCCCGGG
rnacentral:rRNA from 1 species